rnacentral:rRNA from 1 species
CUGCAGCUCAAGUGGUGAUCAUUAUUAUUGGGCCUAAAACGUCCGUAGCCUGUUUAGUAAAUGCCUGGGUAAAUCGUGUAGCUUAACUAUACGAAUUCCGGGUAGACUGCUAAACUUGAGACCGGGAGAGGCUAGAGGUACUCCUGGGGUAGAGGUGAAAUUCUGUAAUCCUAGGGGGACCACCAGUGGCGAAGGCGUCUAGCUAGAACGGGUCUGACGGUGAGGGACGAAGCCCUGGGGCACAAACCGGAUUAGAGACCCGAGUAGUCC